CUACAAGCCAAGGAAUGCCAAUGAUUGCAGGAGCCACCAGAAGUUAGGAAGAGGCCCAGCAGGAUUCUUCCCUAGAGACCCGAGGGAGCCUGGCUCUGCCAGCACCUUGGCAUCAGACUUCUCUCCUCCAGAGCUACGAGGUCCACUCCUUGCUGACUGCAUGGCCUUGAGCAAGAUACUCAACCUUCUGAGGCUCAGUUUCACCAUCUAAAAAUGAGGAAGAUACUAAUACCUAGCAAACAGAAUAGUGGUUAAUUUCACCAACCAGUUAAAAGUCCUCUUACAUGACCUGUGUUUCCUUUGCUUCUACGUUGCUUUUUAAAACAACGGCCUUUCAAAAGGGGGAGAAAUGUUUCAGAAUCCUUAACAAUUCAGCUUGAACAAAAGAUGUUCCUUUUGUGGAUACUACUACCCUGGGAAGAAAUUCAAUGUCAGGAGGGAAACCAUGGGAGACUAGGAGCUGUUGUUAUAUAUUAGGAAGGAAUGAUAUAAUAAAAACAUGUUCUUAGAAAAAGACAGCCACGU